rnacentral:rRNA from 1 species
UACGAAGGGGGCUAGCGUUGUUCGGAAUCACUGGGCGUAAAGGGCGCGUAGGCGGCUUUAUAAGUCGGGUGUGAAAGCCCCGGGCUCAACCUGGGAAUUGCAUUCGAGACUGAAUAGCUAGGGUACGGUAGAGGGAAGUGGAAUUUCCGGUAUAGCGGUGAAAUGCGUAGAUAUCGGAAGGAACAUCAGUGGCGAAAGCGACUUCCUGGACCAGUACCGACGUUCAGGCACGAAAGCGUGGGGAGCAAACAGG